rnacentral:rRNA from 1 species
AACGAACGCUGGCGGCAGGCUUAACACAUGCAAGUCGAACGCCCCGCAAGGGGAGUGGCAGACGGGUGAGUAACGCGUGGGAACGUGCCCUUCGCUUCGGAAUAGCCCCGGGAAACUGGGGAGUAAUACCGGAUACGCCGUAUUGGGAAAGAUUUAUCGGCGAAGGAUCGGCCCGCGUUAGAUUAGCUAGUUGGCGGUGUAAUGGACCACCAAGGCUACGAUCUAUAGCUGGUCUGAGAGGAUGAUCAGCCACACUGGGACUGAGACACGGCCCAGACUCCUACGGGAGGCAGCAGUGGGGAAUAUUGGACAAUGGGCGAAAGCCUGAUCCAGCAAUGCCGCGUGAGUGAUGAAGGCCUUAGGGUUGUAAAGCUCUUUUACCCGGGAUGAUAAUGACAGUACCGGGAGAAUAAGCUCCGGCUAACUCCGUGCCAGCAGCCGCGGUAU